GAGGGGAUAGCGCAGUAAAGCGCCUAGUAUUCCUCUACCGCACUCUAAAUUUAUAGUAUAGUAGAGGUCGAAGGUUCGAAUCCUUCUCUCCUUA
rnacentral:tRNA from 1 species